rnacentral:rRNA from 1 species
UGAGGAAUAUUGGUCAAUGGGCGAGAGCCUGAACCAGCCAAGUAGCGUGCAGGAUGACGGCCCUAUGGGUUGUAAACUGCUUUUAUGCGGGGAUAAAGUGCGGCACGUGUGCCGUUUUGUAUGUACCAGUAUGAAUAAGGACCGGCUAAUUCCGUG